AAAUAAUUAUAGUUUAUAUAUUGUCAUUUACGAGUUAGCGAAUAGGAGUCAACAUAUAAUAAACAGAAAGUAUCAUGUAUUAUAUCGAUUGUGUUGCAUUACAAAGAACACAUUCCAAAGAUUACAAGAUGUGAAACAAUCUAGUAGUAGCCCAAUUGUCCACCCUGCAAUCAACUACAAUGGUUGAAACAUUGACCCCGGAUAUGACAUUCUAAUUAUGAAAUAGUGGCCACAUUCUCAACGUUGCAAUCAACAUCCAACCCAGGCACCAUGAUUUCUUGGCAAUCUACAACAACAAAUAAAUGAGAUGAGUAGCGUAUGGCAGAAAAAAAUCUGGUUAAAGCAGUAAAAAUUCAAGGAAGGGAAACUAUGGUAGCUUUGUACAAAGAUUAUAUAUCCAGUGUUUGUAAACUGCAGAUUCAGCAUAUGGUUGGUAAUUUGGAAGACCAAAUAUAUUUAUACUGACGUCCAAGUUGAUUGGUUGACAAAUUGUAACCUUCAUUAGCUAAUAACACCCUUGGUGAACACAGGAAACUCAAUUAAGUUCCGCUUACAAAAUAGACUGUAGAUUGGCUGCCAGUCGUCAAUAAAUCAUUAUUCAUACGCUGGUAUCUAGCCCAAAUUGUCUAUCUCAUUUUUGUAAAAAACUGUAUACUGAAUAUGAACUCUGAAUUAAUCUGAAAUAUUGAGAAAGUGAUGUUAGUAUGCUGAGAAUAUAUUAAAUAAAUAAAUAAAUAUUUUCAAGGGACAUGAUUUAGUAUUUCUCGUAAGUGAUUACUAUACUAAUAGGCAGACUACUUUUUCAGCAACGUACAGAUAGUGUUGUUUGAACCAAAAAAAUUGAUGUAAAAAAGAAUACUAUGUCAGUUUAAAGUACAUUGCUAAAUGAGAUGGGCAAUGCAAAAAACAAAACAUCCUUGGGUUAUGUCAUUUUUAUUUUCCUAGUACUGUACAUGCAUCUAACUUUUCCUCCUUGGCCAAACAGUUACUCGUGCAAAAGCAAUAGCUGUAACUAUACCCACUUGAUCCAUCUGACUUGUCAGUACUGCAUCUUGCAUUAUAUUCACCGCAUUAGUGCGGCCGAGUCGCUGCGCUGCUGUCCAUAAAGGAGACGCACCUAACCUCGCAUGUACAACCCAUCAAGGAGCCAUCAUUCCUGCCCUGCACGUUGACAACUAAACCAAAUUUUAAACCCAAAAGUGAGCAUAGUGGAAGCCUGGAACGGCAACCAGAUGGAUAAUAUUGGUGUAACUGACGAUGCGGACACCAAAAUAGAUAAGAAGUGGGGCGGCACAAGAAACAUACAGAACCUACAGGAACAAGUUAAGAUGUGCAGCUUGUCUGACUCAUUUCUUUAGUGCAAAGUGUGUCAAACAAAUUAAUAAGAUUCAUAACACGGAUAAGGGAUCUAUUUUCUCCUCAAAGUAAUCAAAAUGUCAUUAAUCGUUAAUAGUGUCAAACUAGGAUAAAUUUGAGAUAAUAUGGCAGCUAAUUGAAUGAGUCUGUGAUAAUCAACUUCAAUUGAAAAUAUUAGUAAUUAAGUAUUCAUCUACAUAUAUAGCAGCAAGAAAAUCAAAGAAAUAUAAUGCAUCACAAAAAUAGUUUGUCAGAAAAGGGGGAAGCAAAUAUUCUUCCUAUGAAUUAACACAGAUAGCACGGUUCCAUAUAUCUACAUCAGUCAGCUAAGUAGCAAUAACCUGCACAUGGAGAACUAGAUACAGUACGAGACAUGCCUAAAAUUGAACGUCUAGAAAGGAGAAGCGGGUGCUUGGGCCUGCCCUAUUCUACAGCGAAGAUGUUGAAUUAUUAAAAUGACUAAGAACUCAAGCAUCCAGCAGAGAAACAUGGAUGCGCCGUCACCGAUGCUGGUGGAUCAGAUCGAUGGAGGGCAGGACUUGCGGCUGAGAAAGAUUGCAGUAAGUACGGUGAUGAUGAUGCGGUGGCGGAGGGUGAGGGAGACCUCGAAGGCUCUGUCUAAACUGGGCGGCGAUGGCGUCAUCCAGAUCUAGCUAGCUCACCAUCUUGAGG
rnacentral:lncRNA from 1 species